GUGAAUUCAGAUCUUUGAGAAAUAAAACCGGUUUACAAAUUUUUGGAUUUCGUGUCUUUUGUAGUAUUUUUAUAGGUGAAAAUUUAGAGACUUAUUAGUAUGCUUGUUAUGAAUGUGUGUAAGAGAUUUGAGGUCAAUCGAAUGGCUAGAUCGAUACAUAUGAAGGUUUUUGUAGGCUAAGGUCUCGAGAUUUAGGGUUUUGAGGACUAGUAAGGUUUUCUUACAUAUCUAGCAAUCUGCUAGUUGGAUUAGAGAGAUUUUUGGUUUUAUCAGUAGAAGACUUGAUUUCCUAUAUGCAAGUAAAAUUUGAAAGCAAUCGAAUGAUGGUAAAGGGAGAUAUCAAUGCUGGAAGUUGGCAUCAAGAUUGGAGAAGGAGAAACUAGUCGACAUCCGAGCGGAAUUUUGAGGUCAUCGACUAAUUGGUAAGUGCAAUUUUCUUCAAAAUUUGUGUGCUCGUUUCUAACUUAAACUCCAAGAAGCAUGCAAAUUUUGAAUUAGAAUGAAUUGUUCAAUCUUUAGUUAUUUAAUUUUCAACUCUGUGAUUAAGGUUUGGUUUGGAUUAGGAUUUGAUUAGGGUUUAGGGUUAGGAUUUGAUUACGAUUUGAUUUAGGAUUUAGGAUUUUUUAGGAUUAGGAUAUGGUUUAAAAUUUGAUUUAGGAUUUGAUUUAGGAUUUAAGAUUUGAUUUAGGAUUUAGGAUUUGGAUUAGGAUUUGGAUUAGGAUUUAAGAUUUGGAUUAGGAUUUGAUUUAGGAUUUGGUUAGGGAUUGGUUUAAGAUUUAGGAUUUGAUUAAGGUUUGAUUAGGAUUUGGUUUAAGAUUUAGGAUUUUUCUAGAAUUUGAUUAAGGUUAGAUUAAAAUUAAGGAUUGGUUAGAAUUUAAGUUUUUAUUAGAUUUUUGUUAGGAUUUGACUAAGUUUUCUUUAAUAUUCUUUUAUAUUUCUUUAGGAUUUUCUUGUGUUUCUUUUAUAACUUCAAUAAAAUUUAAUUGAGCUUGGUUAAUAUUUGAUUAUGAUUGUUAAUAUUUAAUUGUAAAUUUUCUAUAAUCCUAUUGGAUUGUUAGGAUCUUUUAUUGCAAUUUUCUUUUACCUUCUAUAGCGAGGUGCUUGGUACAUUCUCAAGCAAGACUUCACAUAAUACGUCAUAUUUAGUGAACCCGACGUGAAAAACUUGAGGUGGGAGGUAUUUGGAGUUUCUUUGAUCUAUUUUGGGUUAUGGAGAAGGAAGGCAAGAGAAUGGAAGGAGGAGUUUUUGGUGGUGCUUCAAGUGGAGUUGGAAGUGGAGCUUCAAUUGAAAGACAAGGUAUGUAUUUUGAUCCCAACUCUGCAAGCAUAUUUGAGGCAUUGCCCUUAUUCAUGCAACAACAACAAGUUAAGGAUCGCAAAGAGGGCAUGACAAACAAAGCAUUACAAGAUGUUGUAGACAAGAUUAAUCAAUUUGAAGGAAAAUUUGAAUUGGAUAUUACAAAAUAUUUAAGGUGUUACGUGAAGGAAAUGGAAUUGAAGCAUGUUUCAGAGAAGGAGAUGGUUCAGCUAUUUGAAUUGGCUAAUGCACCAGCAAUAAGAAAUCAUGUGAAGUCCAUUAUAGGACAUUCUGGAGGUUGAUGGAAAAAAUUAUCUCAAGCAUUAAAAGAUGAGUAUUUUUUAGAAGAUAGUGAUCGAGUUACAAAGAAGUCAUUGUCAUAAUGCGUGAAGUCUUGCUUAAGAAUGCUCCGGACACUUGGCUGUGGAAGGAAGAAUAGAAAUUAUAAUAACAAAAUCCUAAUUUUAAUAGAAUACUAACAAUGCUCUAAUUAGACCAUAAUAAUGCUAAGUAAGCUUAAUCAAAUUCAAAAAAACCUCAAAGAAAUUUCAAACAAAUAAUUAGAAUUCUUAAAGAAAUAUUAGAAGGAUCAUAAAUAUCACUCAAAUACAUCUCAAUUCAAUCUUAAUUUAAUUCUAGUUAAAAUCCUAUUGAACUUCAUUCAAACUUUAGGUCCAAACUAAUUAAAUCUUAAAUCCUAAUAAAAUCUUAAAUCCUAAAUCAAAUCCUAAAAAAAUCUUAAACCAAACUCCAAUCAAAUCCUAAACCAAACCCUGAACCCUAAAUAAAAUCCUAAAUCAAAUCCUAAAUCCUAAAUAAAACCCUAACCAAACCCUAAAUCCUAAUCAAACUCUAAAUCGUAAUCCUAAAUCCUAAACCUAAAUCCUAAAUCAAACCCUAAACUAAAUCCUAAUCCAAAUCCUAAACCCUAAACCCUAAAUCAAAUCCUAAAUCAAAUCCUAAACCCUAAAUCCUAAAUCAAACCCUAAACCAAAUCUUAACCAAACCCUAACCAAAUCCUAAACCAAAUCCUAAUAAUUCCUACAACAGAUUUAAACCUCGAUAACUAAUGAAUAAACCAUUGAUCUUAACUCAAAUUUUUCACACUUCUUAACAACUAAGUUCAAAACAAGUAUAAAAAAAUUGAAAAGGAUCGGAGUUACCAAAUUGACAAUAACCUCAAAAAUGUGCUCGAGUAUUGGCUGGCUUCCUUCUCCAAUCUUGAUGCCAAUCUUUCAGAGCCAAUAUCUCUCCUUUGCACCGUUCGAUUGAUCUCAAAAUUCUCAUACAAAUAGAAAAACAAGUCUUAUAUCUUCUCACAUAAGUUUCACUCUAAUCCAACUAGUAGAUUGCAAGAAAGCUUAAAAACUUCCACUAGACCUAAAAUUCUACUUUCUGAGACCUUGACCCAAUUAAACCUCAAUAUUCCUCAAUUCAACUAUUAGAUCGAGCUCAAUUUUACGACACAUAUUAAAAACAACUAUAACCAUAAUUCUACAAAAUUUCACUUGUAGAUCUAUUACUAAACUCUUGAAAUCACCCAAAACAUAAACCCUAUUUUAUUUCAUAAAACCUAAAUCAUCCAAAACAAACCUUGACUUUGCAAAGCUCUUUCAAAGUCAUAACAACUCCAAAUCACCCAAAAUUAACACCUAUAGAAACCUUAUUCAAUUUGCUAUCAAAACUUUUUCUCCGAUCUGCCAAAGAGUCCCGAAGUUGUCGUGCAUACUCGGUUUUGUACCUCAGGGUCUGAUUUCGACCCUAGUUCAUAACCGGCCCUCUCCGGGUAUCAAUAUCUAAUUUUUCUUAAGUAAUUUUUAUUAGAAUUUACUCUUAACUUCUUCUUAAAGAUGUCUUUAUCAUUUUUUUUCCAAUCUACCUUAUUUUUCCUUAUUUUUGGCCUUACAAAGUAAGUAGAAGCUAUUUUUUCUAAAAGGGCAGCAUUACUACUAAAAGUUUUACUGCCUUCCUAUCUUUUAUCCAUAUUUUUCUACCUUUUCUUUUAACUUGGGUCUUCUAUAAUAAGAUCCAUAUUAUCAUCUUUCACCAUGUAGUCGUGUUACAACACGACAUCAUUUUUUGAAUGGAUUGAAAGGCCUAAGAAGGAUCUACUAGCAACGGAGUUACUAAGGGAGUUUGAAAAACAAAAUUCUUGUUUAUCAAAGAAGGAGAGGCAAUUAUUAGAUCCAAGUAAAGUGGAACUUUUUCUUCAAGUGGCUAAUGGAGAAUUGCAUGAAAAGUUGGAAAUUUUGCUGGAAGAUAAAGAAGAAGUUGAAGGAUUGACAACAAAUUGAGAGAAAGUAGAAGAGGCAAUUGGGGUGCUUGCAAAAAGGGAAAGGAGAAAAGAUAGGAUGGAAAUUCAAAGACCAUUGUAAGUAUUUAAAGGAAAAAUUCCUAUUUUAUAUCAUACAUCUACGAUUCAACCUUCAAUAGCUACAUCAAAGAGAGAAGAAAUGGGCAUUGAUGAAAUCAUACGAGAAAUAAGAGAUUUUUAAAUAAAAUUUGUAAAACUUGAAGAGAUGGGUCAAUCAUCAAAAAUAUCAACAAGACAAAAUUUGAGACCAAUAGAAGGUAUGGUGCAUAGGUGCAUGUGGUGUGAUAGCAUAGAUCAUUCAAGAAGGGAGUGUGAGGAUUUUUCAGAGGCGCUACGCAAAGGAGUUGUUUUUUUUAAAGAUGGUAUGAUACACUUAAAAGAGAGUGGAAAAAAAUUAAAGACAAAUUUUGGUGAAGGGGAAUGAAGGUAUUUGUAAUAGAUGCUUUCAAGGUGCAUACAACUUCAAGCAAUGAAGCAUCAACAUUUUGGAUGGGGGCAAAUCCAAGCAAAUUCUUAAGUAUAAAUCUUGAAUAUCCAGGAGAAUCUAGUUCUUUAUGGUCAAGUGCAAGGAAUUAUGCUGAAAAGGAAAAUUUUACUGGAGAUGAUCUAAAACAUGUUGGCAAUAAUAUUCGGCAAAUUACUAGGCACGGGCAAAUCCAAGUAAAUGCUUAAGUAUAAAUCUUGAGUAUCCAGGAGAAUUUAGUUCUUUAUGGUCAAGUCCAAUGAAUUAUGCUGAAAAGAGAAAUUUUAUUAGAGAUGAUCUAAAAUAUGUUGGCAAUAACAUUUAGCAAAUUAUUAGGUGGAAUGAUCCAGUAGAUAGAUUAUCAAUUCAUGCUCAUAUUGCAAGGAGUCAACAUGAAGCAUAAAUAGAAGAAAAAUGAAGGAGAGACGAAAAUCAUGAAGGGACAUCAAAAAGAAUCACAAGGGGAGAUAAAACUCAACAACAUAAGAAUCUUAUGCAUGAAGAGACAAUAGAGAAUAUUUCUACAAAGGAGAGGGAGAUUGUGAAAGAAAAAGCAAAGGUUCCUGCUUAUAAAUUACAAUGAGAUAUUGAAGUUGCUACAAAUUUGAAGAAAGUAUUGAAGGAGCGGAUUUUAAGUAGAAAGGUUGAAUUUACAAUUGAUGAAAUUUUAGGAAUUACAAAACGAGAAUUUUAUGAAAUUAUUAUUGAUACAAUAAAAAAAAAACAGCAUUCUAUUGGUGAUACUAUGAUAUUAAAUGCACAAGAUACAAAGGCAAUAGGAAGCAAUGAAGAUGAAAAAAUUAAAAUACAAAUUGUUGGAGAUGUUUCACGAGUCAAAUUUACAAGAAAAGAAGAUAUGAUUCAAGCUUCUAGUGAUUAUUCUUGAAUUCAUUGGGCAAGGGCUACUAUGGAAACUUUAGUAAAAUUGGGAGAUUUAGAAGAACCAAUCAUAGCAUUGAUUGAACAUAGUUCUGAAAUAAAUUUAAUGUCAACAGAAUUAUAUAAAAAGUGAAAUUGGCCUAUUGAUAUUGAGCAUGGGUGGAUGAUAAGAGCAGCAAAUAAUUCAAAGGGGGAUUUGUGCGGAGCUUGUCUAAAUAUCAAGGUGACAAUUGGAGAUGUUAUUCAUGAACAAAAUUUCUUUGUAUAAGAUAUAUCUACAUAUCCUAUUAUAUUAGGACAACCAUAUAUUACUGCCACACAAAUGGAGACAAAGGUUAUAGAUGAUGGAUCAGCUUAUGCAAAGAUAAGAAGUCAAGACAGAAAGAAGGUGGUGCAAUUUUUAAUAGUUUGUGUAAAUCAUGGAAGAAAUAGGGAUAGUUUGAGGGAACAUCCUUUGCCAAAGAUACAUAAAGAAUUUGAAGAUCUUGAAGACUCAAAGGAUUUUUACUAGACGCCAUUCUAAAGCAGGAUUGCAAUGAUAAAAAGAGUGAAGGCUUCCCGCAUAAUAGAAAGGAUGAAAAUAUUGUAGGAUUAUUGUGAGACGGAUAUAUUUUAUUCAAAAAACUAAAUAAUUUUAUUAGGAUAGAUAAGAAAAAUAUUAAGAAUAUAGAACAGGGAUUAAAGAAAUGUGGAAUGAUUAAUGAAAAUGAAUACAUAUCAGGGAUGUUUGAAGAAUCUUAUUUUGGUAAUACUAUGAAUGAUUUACAAAUAUUAUUAAAUAGAGAUUUUGAAAGAGUUGACAAAGUAAUAAAUGUCCAUUCUAAGUAAUUUUAUGAUGGAAUAAAAGAAUAUAUGGAUAGGUAUGAAGUGAAGGUGAACACAAAAUACAAGACUGUUGCAAGGAAGAUUAACCUAGUGGCAUUGCCACUACCAUCAGAUUUUGAAGAAAGGAUUAAAGGGGCUUCUAUGCAACCUAACUUAAAAGAUCCAAGGAAAAUAGGUCAUGAAUUCAAGGAUAAUUUGACGUUAGAUGGUUUGAAAAUUGGAUGUGAUAAAUUUUUGAUAAGAGAUGAGGAGAGAUGUUUUAAAGAAAUACUUUCACGACAUGGUAAAGCAUUUGCAUUUGAAUCACAUGAAAUAGGGUGCAUUGAUCUGAGUAUUGUAGCACCUAUGGUUAUUUUUACAAUUCCACAUGAACUAUAGAAAUUGAGGCCAAUUCUAGUUCCAAAGGUCCAUUUACCAAAGCUAGUUGAAUUACUCAAUGAAAAAAUUAAGAUGGAAAUUUUAGAACCAUCUAUUGCACCAUAUUCUAAUAGGUGGUUCAUAGUACCUAAGAAAAAUGGAACAUUGAAGUUUAUUCAAGAUAUGCAAUCGGUACAUAAAAUAACUAUUAGAAACAUGGGCUUGAGUCCAAUUGUGGAUGAGUUUGCAGAGGCAUUUGUUGGAUGAUCAAUUUAUUCUAUGGGAGAUCUUUACUCAAGAUAUGAUCAAUUUCAAUUGGCAAUGCAAAGUAGAGAUUUGACAACUAUGAAGACACCAUUGGGAUUGGUCAAAAUGUGUACAUUAUCAAAAGGAGCUACAAAUUAUGUGGCACACAUGAUGAAUGGAAUGCAUAAGAUAUUAAGAGAUUUUAUUCCAAGAAUAAUAAUACCUUUUCUAGAUGAUGUGCCAAUUAAGGGAUGUGAAGAAGAAAGAAAGGAUGAGACAUUGGAUUCAAAGGGAUGUAGGAAGUUUGUGGCAGAUCAUAUUAAUGAUUGUUAGAAGAUUUUGACAAGGUUAGAAGAAGUUCAUUUAACCUUAUUGGAGACAAAAUCAAUAUUUGGAGUAAAAGAAGUUUUGGUAGUAGGGCACAUGUCUGGUUCAUAUAGAUGAAAAUCAAGAAAGAAAAAGUUGAUAUUAUAAAAAAAAUGAAAGAGUGUGCAAAUAUGACGGAAGUCAAGAGGUUUUUAGGAGCAUGUAUUUUCUAUCAUAUAUGAAUACCUCAUUUUGCACAUAUAGCAGAUCCAUUAUAUGAGUUGUUACGAAAGAAUCAAAAAUUUCAAUGGAAAGAAGAACAAAGAAAAGCUAUGGCAAAGUUAAAAGAAUUUCUUUCUUCACCUCCAACUUUGAAGAAAGUAAAUUAUGAAUGUAGAAGGCUAGUAAUAUUAACAGUUGAUGCAAGUCCAAUUGGAAUAAGUUGGACAGUUGGACAAGAUGAUGAAUAAGGGAAUAGAUAUGUAGUAAGGUUUGGAGCAAAGAUUUUGAAUGCUAAACAUAGGAUAUAUGUACAAAUCAAAAGAGAAUUAUAGAGUGUAGUAAUAGCUAUGAAAAAUAAAAGAGAGUAUUUGAUUGGUGCAUCAGUAGUUGUAGAAACAGAUUGUCUACCUUUAUUGAAUAUGAUUACAAGUUGUUCAACUCUCGAUAUUACUAUAUUAAGGUAGAUGGCAUAUAUCAAAUCUAUAAAUCUAGAAUUUAAACAUAUUACAGGAAAAGAAAAUUUAGUCAUAGAUAUGUUAUCAAGAGCAAGAUAUUAUGAUGAAGAAGAUAUGAUAGAUUUAGAAGAUGAUGUGGGUACAAAUUUUUAUAGUAAUGUAUUAUCAAAAGAAAAAAGUAUAUGUUUGAAUAUACCAUUAGAAACAUUUUCAAGAGAUCUAUAUGAAGAAGAAUGGAAAGACAUUGGCGAGUAUUUAAGCACAUUAAAGCAACAAGAUGGUUGGACACAUCAAGAAUUUAAGAAAAUCUGAAAGAAAGCCUAUGGAUAUUUUUUAUGUGAUGGAUAUUUAUGGAAGCAUCCAAAGAAGAGAGGAGAAGUACCACAACAAGUGAUAUGUGGUUUAGAAGCCCAACAAAAGAUUAUUAAGGAAUUCAUGAAAGAUUAUGGGUAGGGCAUCGAGGUAUUUGGAUAAUAUUUAUUAAGUUGAAAGAAAAAUAUUGGUGGAAGGGCAUGUAUAGGGAUGUGGCGGAUUUUGUAGGAUCUUGUGAAACUUGCCAAAUAUAUUCAAAUAUUCGUCAUCGAGAUGGUUUGCAUCCUACAUACCUAUUAGUAAUUCAUUAUAAAUUGGUAGUUGAUUUAGUUGUAAUGCCAAUGGAAUUUGGUCAGAGGAAAUAAUUGGUAAUUGCUUGGGAAGAUUUGACAAAGCAAGUAGAGGGAAGAGCACUUUCAACAAAGACUACGGAAGAAGUAUGUCGGUUUAUAUUAGAGAAAAUUAUUUGUCAGUAUUAUAAAAAUCACUGCAAAUAGAGGAGAAUUGGAUGCAAAUGAAGCACAAGAGUUCUUUGAAAGGAUGGAUAUUAAACUUACAUUGACAACAUCAUAUAAUCCGAAAGGGAAUAGCAAGAGUGAAUGUGGACAUUCUCCGAUUAUUAAAGCAUUGGUUAAAGCAUGCAAAGGUAAGAUAAGUGAUUGGCCUAAAAUAUUACCAUUUGCAUUAUGGGCGGAUUGCACAACUCAUAGUACGGUUACAAGAUACAUGCCAGCAGAAUUGAUGUAUGGUCAAAAACCGGUAAUACCAAUAGAGGAGGUUGUAUCAACAUGGGCUAUAUUACCUUGGAAAGAUGGUUUAACAAGAGAAGAGUUAUUGGCAUUAUGAAUUCGACAACUUGAAAGAAGGUCUGAGGACAUUGAAGUAGGUAUGAGAAAGUUGAAAGAAGCAAGAAAAAAAAAAAAAAAAAAAAGUUUGACAAAAAGUAUCGAUUGCAUCCAAAACCAAUUCAAAAUGGUGAUUGGGUAUUGAUUUAUGAUAGUAGUUUGGACAACCAACAUAGUACGGCAAAGAAAUUUGCAAGGAGAUGGAUUGGACCUUAUGUUGUCAAACAAAUGCACGAGAAUGGAACAUAUUUGUUACGAGAAUUGGAUGGUAUAGAUUUAAAGAUACCAAUAGCAGGCAAUCGAAUCAAAUUGUUUAAUCAAAGAAGUAAAGACAUUUGUUUUGAUGAAGAAAAAAAUCUAAUAGGAGAUAUUGAGAUGGAAGCAAAAGAAAAAAAAUGAAGAUUAAGAAUUUGACCAAGAUGAAGAACAUUCGAUAUCAAUAUAAUGAAAGAACUUGGUGCAUUCCAGAGGAUGCACAGGUUCAGGGAGGGUGGAUGUCUUGAUAUAACAUGGUUAACAAGUGAAAGGGUGAAGAAAAUAUCAUGUUUUGAGGAUCUCACUUCAAAAAUAUUAUAGAAAAUUAUCUUGGAAAAAUAGAUAUUAGUCAAAGGGUAGAAAAAUUAAAGGUACUAAUACUGCCUUUUUACAAAUUAUGCUUCUAUUUACUUUGUAAGGCCAUAAAUAAGGCAAAACAAGGUAGAUUAAAAAAAUAAAGAAUAUAAGCAUAUGUAGGGAGGAAUUAGGAGUGAAAAUUAGUAAAAAUUACCUCAAGAAGACGAAAGUUGAUACCCAAAGAGGACCAGUUAUGAACUUGGGUCGAAAUCAGACCCCGAGGCACAAAACCGCACUUUGACGGCGACUCAAAGAUUCUUUGGGAGAUUGGAGAGCCGAAUGAGAGAGAAGACUUGUGGAGGGAUUUUUGAGAGGUGAUUUCGUGUCGUUUGGAUCAGUAUUGGUUUUUUGAGGUAUUUUCAAAGCGAGUGAUGUUCUUUGUGAAUUCAGAUCUUUGAGAAAUAAAACCGGUUUACAAAUUUUUGGAUUUCGUGUCUUUUGUAGUAUUUUUAUAGGUGAAAAUUUAGAGACUUAUUGGUAUGCUUGUUGUAAAUGUGUGUAAGAGAUUUGAGGUCAAUCGAAUGGCUAGAUCGAUAUAUAUGAAGGUUUUUGUAGGCUAAGGUCUUGGGAUUUAGGGUUUUGAGGACUAGUAAGGUUUUCUUACAUAUCUAGCAAUCUGCUAGUUGGAUUAGAGAGAUUUUUGGUUUUAUCAGUAGAAGACUUGAUUUUCUAUAUGCAAGUAAAAUUUGAAAGCAAUCGAAUGAUGGUAAAGGGAGAUAUCAAUGCUGGAAGUUGGCAUCAAGAUUGGAGAAGGAGAAACUAGUCGACAUCCGAGCGGAAUUUUGAGGUCAUCGACUAAUUGGUAAGUGCAAUUUUCUUCAAAAUUUGUGUGCUGGUUUCUAACUUAAACUCCAAGAAGCGUGGAAAUUUUGAAUUAGAAUGAAUUGUUCAAUCUUUAGUUAUUUAAUUUUCAACUCUGUGAUUAGGGUUUGGUUUGGAUUAGGAUUUGAUUAGGGUUUAGGGUUAGGAUUUUAUUACGAUUUGAUUUAGGAUUUAGGAUUUUUUAGGGUUAGGAUAUGGUUUAAAAUUUGAUUUAGGAUUUGAUUUAGGAUUUAGGAUUUGGAUUAGGAUUUGGAUUAGGAUUUAGGAUUUGGAUUAGGAUUUGGAUUAGGAUUUGGAUUAGGAUUUAGGAUUUGAUUUAGGAUUUGGUUAGGGAUUGGUUUAAGGUUUAGGAUUUGAUUAAGGUUUGAUUAGGGUUUGGUUUAGGAUUUAGGGUUUUUCUAGAAUUUGAUUAAGGUUAGAUUAAGAUUAAUGAUUGGUUAGAAUUUAAGUUUUUAUUAGAUUUUUGUUAGGAUUUGACUAAGUUUUCUUUAAUAUUCUUUUAUAUUUCUUUAGGAUUUUCUUGUGUUUCUUUUAUAACUUCAAUAAAAUUUAAUUGAGCUUGCUUAAUAUUUGAUUAUGAUUGUUAAUAUUUAAUUGUAAAUUUUCUAUAAUCCUAUUGGAUUGUUAGGACCUUUUGUUGAAAUUUUCUUUUACCUUC
rnacentral:lncRNA from 1 species